GAUGAACGCUGGCGGCGUGCUUAACACAUGCAAGUCGAACGGUGAAGCAGGAGCUUGCUCUUGUGGAUCAGUGGCGAACGGGUGAGUAACACGUGAGCAACCUGCCCCUGACUCUGGGAUAAGCGCUGGAAACGGCGUCUAAUACUGGAUAUGUGAUGUGACCGCAUGGUCUGCAUCUGGAAAGAAUUUCGGUUGGGGAUGGGCUCGCGGCCUAUCAGCUUGUUGGUGAGGUAAUGGCUCACCAAGGCGUAGACGGUUAGCCGGCCGGGGAGGGUGACCGGCCACACUGGGACUGAGCACCGGCCCAGACUCCUACGGGAGGCAGCAGUGGGGAAUAUUGUACAAUGGGCGGAAGCCUGAUGCAGCAACGCCGCGUGAGGGAUGACGGCCUUCGGGUUGUAAACCUCUUUUAGCAGGGAAGAAGCGAAAGUGACGGUACCUGCAGAAAAAGCACCGGCUAACUACGUGCCAGCCGCCGCCGUAA
rnacentral:rRNA from 1 species